GUCUAUUCUUAGUUAUGAAUUGUAUGUCACAUUGAGGGAAAUGGGAGGUGUCUGAACUCGGUCUGUCUUUCCUGCAUCUCUGUAAUAUAAAACAUCUCUAACUGAGAAGACCACUCACCUUCAGACGAUCCCUUCGUACAGAAGCACUUCCCUCCUCUUCCUCAGUCCUGUAGUUUCUUUCCUCUCCAAACUCCGCCCACGACUCCCUUUCCAACAGACCUCUCUGUUCUCCAAAUGCCCAACAGCUCUCCUUGGUGUCACCCUGCUCCUCUGUGGAGGUCUUUAGAGGAGCAGAGUGGAAGUCUGCAAAGCUGUCACUGGGUGGGAGGACUCCUUCCCCCCACUCCUCACCCCUGUUAUCCUCACAGGUCUGGGUCAGGUCUGGGUUGUCCUGGUCAGAGUCUGCCAAGCCCUUGUGGUUCUCAGAGACUGAUUGAUUGAAGUUUGAAAAGCCCUCCUGUGUCAUGGAUUCUGAUUGGCUUAAGUCUGUAAAUCCCUCCUGAUAGGUUCCAUUGUUCACCUUUUUCUCCAAGUUUGCGGCCUCCAUCUUUGGAUUUUCCCUGCGGUUACUCUGCUGCACCUCCUUUUCAGUUUCCUCUUUCUCCUCAAUUUCCACCACCUCUUUCUCAGCUUCCUUCUCUUCCUUCUCCCCUGGCGACGAAGGAACAAAGACUGUCUCUGCAAAGUCGCCAAGCUCCUCCAGAGCGUCUGGGAACACAGCCUCACAGAAGGAGGCAAACUCCUCACUCACUGACGCACUGACUGUGGUGGGGAGAGAAGACACGCUCUCCUCUGGUUCCGUCUCCUCCUCCUCGUCAUCUUCCUCCCUCCCUGCUCCCAGUUCUGGGUCCUGUGUAAGUGAUCUGAGGGUACCAUGCCAGCUGGUACUGGAUGUCCUGUUCCCAGAUUCACCUGGUCCUCCCAGCUCCUCACCCCCAGCAGGGAACCUCUCUUGGGGGGCAGAGAGGCCCUGAGAUGGGAGGAUGGGCUCCAGGCCAGUUAGUUUACAGUGUCCUGGUUCUUCCAAACACAGAGGGUCUGGCUCUCCUCCGGGCUCCUGCUCAGUGUCCUCCUCUAGGGAGUGUCCCUCACAGAAGCCGUUGGUUAGGUUUGACCCUUUCGUCCUGCCGUUCUUCUGGUGUUCCGUAGUGCCGGUGUGGGAGAAGCCACAGCACCAGGCUUCCAGGUCCAUCUCCGGUUCGGUGAACACAGAGAAGUCUGCAAACCCUGACUCCUGACUGGGACCUCUAAGACCAGCUGGUACAGGACCUGUGGAGAAUUAAUGGAUCAAAAAUAUUACUACACAUUUAAAAUACAUUAUACCUAUAUCAAAAAUGAUUAAAAACAAAUUACAAAAAAUACUUCAAUGCCAAAAAGGAUGUCACUAGAUUAACUUACUAACAACUAUUUGACAGCUCUGAGGACUAAACCUGUUACUUGGUCCCCUGGUAAUGAGUAAACCUGUACCUGUAGACAUGGUCCCCUGGUAAUGAGUAAACCUGUACCUGUAGACAUGGUCCCCUGGUAAUGACUAAACCUGUUACCUGUAGACAUGGUCCCCUGGUAAUGACUAAACCUGUUACCUGUAGACAUGGUCCCCUGGUAAUGACUAAACCUGUUACCUGUAGACAUGGUCCCCUGGUAAUGACUAAACCUGUUACCUGUAGACAUGGUCCCCUGGUAAUGACUAAACCUGUUACCUGUAGACAUGGUCCCCUGGUAAUGACUAAACCUGUUACCUGUUGACAUGGUUCCCUGGUAAUGACUAAACCUGUUACCUGUUGACAUGGUUCCCUGGUAAUGCUGCUCAAAUAAACCAUUGGUGAGAGGACGUUCAGGCAGGUCACAGUGACAGUGCCGCCCUUUGACCUCUAAACCUGAACGAUCCGUCUUGAAUUCUGAAGUCACAGAGUAAUCGGGUUGAGAUGGGUCCAUCGCCUGUGGCCUCUUCAGGUCUCCGGUUCCUCUUGUCAGUGUUCCGUUGUUAUGUCCAGCAUCAGCCAAGGCAGGGUUCCUGACAGCAGAGUGAUCUGUUGAUGGGGUCGGGGGGACGGGGCCUGUCGUCAAGGAGUGAUGCUGGCUGGAUGACACCGUCACACCCCUAACAGAGGCCACGCCCCCGGAGAAAACCCCCAAAUUGUCAUCCUCCUCCUCCUCUCCCCCUGAUUCGUCAUCCUUCGCAGGUGGUGAUGAGGAGUAUAUGCGCAUCACUUCCUGCUCCAUAAAAGAGUUCUCCCAGCUGGACGCCUCCUUCUCCCAGCUGGACGCCUCCUUCUCCCAGCUGGACGCCUCCUACACCUGGAGGGAGAACACAUGCUGAGUACAGACCAUCCUGCAAGAAGAUACUGCACCCAAGGACAGCUUCAUGAUAUGAAAUGUUUUUG
ensembl:lncRNA